UAGGGAAUCUUCGGCAAUGGGGGGAACCCUGACCGAGCAACGCCGCGUGAGUGAAGAAGGUUUUCGGAUCGUAAAGCUCUGUUGUUAAGGAAGAACGAGUGUGAGAAUGGAAAGUUCAUACUGUGCCGGUACUUACCAAANGNGCGGUUCCCUGCCCCCUGCCCCNUCCGCGGUAAUACGUAGGUCCCGAGCGUUGUCCGGAUUUAUUGGGCGUAAAGCGAGCGCAGGCGGUUAGAUAAGUCUGAAGUUAAAGGCAGUGGCUCAACCAUUGUAGGCUUUGGAAACUGUUUAACUUGAGUGCAGAAGGGGAGAGUGGAAUUCCAUGUGUAGCGGUGAAAUGCGUAGAUAUAUGGAGGAACACCGGUGGCGAAAGCGGCUCUCUGGUCUGUAACUGACGCUGAGGCUCGAAAGCGUGGGGAGCGAACAGGAUUAGAUACCCUGGUAGUCCACGCCGUAAACGAUGAGUGCUAGGUGUUAGGUCCUUUCCGGGACUUAGUGCCGCAGCUAACGCAUUAAGCACUCCGCCUGGGGAGUACGACCGCAAGUUG
rnacentral:rRNA from 1 species